AGCUUUGCGCAGUGGCAGUAUCGUAGCCAAUGAGGUUUAUCCGAGGCGCGAUUAUUGAUUAUUGCUAAUUGGAAGUUAAAGUCACAUGCCCACCAUCACAUAGUAAGUGAAAGAGCUGGGCUCUCUGUCUCCAGAAAUCCAUCUUAGUAAACAGUGCUACCCUGCUGCUCAAAACCGAGGUAUGAGCCCUAAAAUCAACCCUUCUGGGUUAUAAGGCACUUCUCAAUUACUCAUUUCACAAUAAUUUUGGAAUAAUUUUUGCUUACAAAAGAAA
rnacentral:snRNA from 1 species